rnacentral:misc_RNA from 1 species
UGACCACUCAAGCCUGGCUUGGUAUUGGGGUUCGCGGUCCCGCGGCUCUUAAAAUCAGUGGCGGCGCCAUCUGGCUCUAAGCGUAGUAAUCUCUCUCGCUACAGAGUCCUGGUGGAUGCUUGCCAGCAACCCCUUAUUUUCUUA